AGACCAAUCCAGUAUCCGUGGGAAUCAUCGUAGUACGAGUUGGUGUGAUUACUGAUGAAUUCCUGUGAGGCAUUAAAUGACAGAUCAUCAACAUUCACACUUUCAGCAACUCAUUCUGACCAGACCUUUUGUUUUUUUUCUUUAGUCUUGUGAAGGUGGCGUGGCGAUGCUGCUGGAGCUCACCUGUUCUUGCAGACCAUUAAUAACAACCAGAUCUGCAGUUUUGCUUCGGCAGUACUUUCGGCUUUCUUCCCACGUCUUCCAAGGAUCUUCUUCAUAAAACAGAUCCAACGGUUCUUUAUGGUGCAAGUCGUUUUUUGCCAGCUCUCCAGGGGAUUCACACGUUUCAGAUUUAAAGCACAAGAUUCCCUUAAAUCGUCUUGUUCUGGUAUCCAGUACCUGAGGAGGAAAAACAUCAGGUAAGAUCAGUCUUUUGGGAAGUAGACUAUACUUGAUUUCAUGUUAGAGAAGGGAUGUCUGGAGGACCAAUAGUUUCAUCUCAGUAUGUAGUUUGGUGCCAUAAGUAGCAAUGAUAGUUUAGUUGUCAUAGUUACUAGAGAUAUUAGACAUUAAAGCCAUGUGGAAGGUCAAAAUCCAAUGCAGGUGCAGUUGUGUUAUAGAUAUUUAGUAUUUGAUGACCAAAAGCCAGAAUGCAAACAGUGUCAGAGAGCAUUUAAAGGACACUCUACAAAAUAAUCUAAGGAGCUCAAAGACAGCCAAUAUUAACCUGACUUUCUCAGAAUAAGAAGGACCCCAAGGUUUAUUUAAGAAAAUAUGGUCUCAUUCAUGCAGAAUAUCUUUUAGGACGGGGCUAACUUGUGAAUGGCAUACUGGUAACAGAGCAAAUUAGAACGAUGGUCGUUUUCUCAUACACUUCUAAAGAAUCAGAUGUCUUUGUUCAACCAGAUGAGCCGCCCCCUGCUGGUUGUUAGAAACACUGUAGGUUUACAGCUUCAUUUUUGAGAUGCUGCAUGCAUGUUUAUUGUAAAGGAAUUAAGUCAAACGAUCUUCCUUAGAAUGUUCUAGAUGAUGGACAAAAAACAAGACUAAGUUGAUAUUAAAACUAACUUUCAGGUUAUUACAUUUGACUAGAACCACAGUUUUGUCCACAUAAACGAAACAGAAAAUACUUAAUAGCUGAAUUAACAGAAGGUUGUGUUAGCAACACAUUAGCCUCUGCUUGAGUUGCAUGUUCUUUGCGCUGCAAAAUAUACAGGAAUCAAAACGGAAAUGUACGUAUAUAGGUUUUGCAUAUAUAAUAAGUUAAAUACUAAAAUGUCUUAGACUUGCCUUUGUUAUUACUGCAAGUGACUUUGCGUGUUGUCUUUGUUCUGUUACUGGUGCAAAAAGACUUUUCAUGACAAAUAAGACUCUUUAAGGUGAGAAAAUGUAUAUAGAAAACAAAGAUUUUCAAUAACAUAAUACUUUAUCCAUCCAUCCAUUCUCUAUACACCGCUUUAUCCUCACUAGGGUCGCGGGGGGUGCUGGAGCCUAUCCCAGCUGACUCGGGCGAAGGCAGGGGACACCCUGGACAGGUCGCCAGUAUGUCACAGGGCUACAUAUACAGACAAACAAUCACACUCACAUUCGCACCUACGGGCAAUUUAGAGUAACCAAUUAACCUCAGCAUAUUUUUGGACUGUGGGAGGAAGCCGGAGUGCCCGGAGAAAACCCACGCAUGCACAGGGAGAACAUGCAAACUCCAUGCAGAAAGAUCCCAGGCCACCCUGGGAUUUAAACCGGGGAUCUUCUUGCUGCAAGGUGACAGUGCUAACCACUACAUCACUGCGCAGCCCACAUAAUACUUCAGGAUUCUUGAAUUAGUUUUCUCUUGUUCAGUUACUUGCUGUCUUCAACAUAAGCAGAGCUACGUCACAUUAUGAAGGCGACAGUGGAACCUACAGCUUGAAAUGACUGAUAGCUGGGAGAUGUGUGAGUGUUGUAUCACAGAGAGAGCUGUUGUCGUGUAAAAAUGUCAGCAUCUCUGUGGGACUAAUUUCAUAGUUAAAGUUAAUAAAUGAACCCACUAGCUUGUU